AUGCUUGCUUGCGCCCCACCCCUACGGAAACUAUUGCCUAUGCUUGCUGCUCGCUCAGUGUCAGUAGAAGGGAAGAAAAGAUGGUCACUCCUUUUAGGAACAUGGCGAGCCUUACUUAUGACUGUUGCACUUCACUCGCUGCUCGUUCAUUCACUUGCUCAUGAACUCGCUGCUUCGCCAGAAGCGACUAGUCGCCUCCUUUCCUCCGCCGAAAGAUGCUUAGCCAGAAGCAAUGAAGGAGGGGAGCUGGGGAAGGCCGAUGAUGGCAAUGAGGGGGAAGCUGUCGUAGAAGCUUUGCCCCUUGCUUUACAUAAAUUGUUAUGA
rnacentral:rRNA from 1 species